CGCAGUUUGCGCGUCUAAAUUGCAAAGUUCAUUGCAAAGUUUUUUUGUUAAGGUUUUGUUUACUGUGUGUGAUUUAUUUAAAACAAAGCACGUUUUGGCACGUUGUUGUUUUUGAAGCCAAUUUGUUCCUAUUUUAUGUGAACUUUUCUGAUGUUUGAUAUAUGUGUGAUAUGUUUUGUUCAUCUGGCUUUAAAUGAAUAAAAGGUAUUUGUUACA